AUUGAACGCUGGCGGAAUGCUUUACACAUGCAAGUCGAACGGUAGAGGGGGCAACCCCUCGAGAGUGGCGAACGGGUGAGUAAUAUAUCGGAACGUGCCCAGUCGUGGGGGAUAACGUAGCGAAAGUUACGCUAAUACCGCAUACGAUCUAAGGAUGAAAGCGGGGGAUCGCAAGACCUCGCGCGAUUGGAGCGGCCGAUAUCAGGUUAGGUAGUUGGUGGGGUAAAGGCUCACCAAGCCAACGAUCUGUAGCUGGUCUGAGAGGACGACCAGCCACACUGGAACUGAGACACGGUCCAGACUCCUACGGGAGGCAGCAGUGGGGAAUUUUGGACAAUGGACGCAAGUCUGAUCCAGCCAUUCCGCGUGCAGGAUGAAGGCCCUCGGGUUGUAAACUGCUUUUGUACGGAACGAAAAGGUCUCUCUUAAUACGGGGGACUCAUGACGGUACUGUAAGAAUAAGCACCGGCUAACUACGUGCCAGCCGCCGCGGUAA
rnacentral:rRNA from 1 species